GUAUGCACCAACACCACGUUCACCUGUGGCAAGAAGUUUCGUUGGCGAAGAAACAUUGAAUCCCAACGCAACAAAUCCAAAAGUAGUUGGAAGCCCCACUACAUCAGAUCCAGAAAUACCAGAAGCAUUUCCACUAAUUCCACCUGAACCUUCAAAUAGACGAGAUACAAACGUGGCAUCUGGAGCAAGACCCAAAACAACAGAAAGCGCCACUCCUUCAAAUCCACAAAAACCAGAAGCAUUUCCACUAAUUCCACCUGAACCUUCAAAUAGACGAGAUGCAAACGUACCAUCUGGAGCAAGACCCAAAACAACAGGUCCAAGAAGAUCAGCAUCCCACCAACCUCAGUCAUCUUUGAGAUCGAUAUCCCAAUCACCAGUUCAAACACAUCAAAGAAAUGAACAAAGACUUCCAACAAAUCGUGCACGUU